rnacentral:lncRNA from 1 species
UGUGAUCCUCGGCUUGAUCCAUGGUCAGAUCCUCAACAUGAUGCUCGUCUGGCAAGUGUGAUGAACUGGCUUUUGCCUUCCGUCUCGCUGCCUUCUUCUUUUUCCUUUUCUCCUUCUUUUUGCUAGCCCUAAGCUCAGGGGAGGACUGUCUCAGAGGAGAAGAAGAAACAUUCUGCUCUCGAUACUCAUAGGCGGAAUGACGUGAUGGAGAAGGAGUUCUGUAGCGUGCUG